rnacentral:rRNA from 1 species
AGGGCUUACGGUGGAUGCCUUGGCGCCAGGAGCCGAUGAAGGACGCGCGAGGCUGCGAAAAGCCCCGGGGAGCCGCCAACGAGGCAUUGAUCCGGGGGUGUCCGAAUGGGGAAACCCGGCCGGGGUCAUGCCCGGUCACCCAGGUCUGAACACAUAGGGCCUGCGGAGGGAACCGCCCGAACUGAAACAUCUAAGUAGGGCGAGGAAGAGAAAGCAACAGCGACUCCCUCAGUAGCGGCGAGCGAACGGGGACGAGCCUAAACCCGCACAGUGUCAUAGCCCACCGGCGUUGCUGUGCGGGUGUCGUGGGACCCACUGGACGGUGCGGUGGCACCGUCACGGAGUUACAAAACCGGCGGCUAGUCGAACGGUAUGGAAAGGCCGGCCACAGAAGGUAAGAGCCCUGUAGGCGAAAGCCGACCGGUCUCCGAGUGGUGUUCCCGAGUAGCACGGAGCACGUGGAAUUCCGUGUGAAUCCGGGGGGCCCACCCCCCAAGGCUAAGCACUCCCUGGCGACCGAUAGUGAACAAGUACCGUGAGGGAAAGGUGAAAAGUACCCCGGGAGGGGAGUGAAACAGUACCUGAAACCGUGAGCCUACAAGCUGUCGGAGCUCGUUCCUGGGUGACCAGGGCGGGUGACGGCGUGCCUUUUGAAGAAUGAGCCGGCGAGUUAGCGGUGCGUGGCAAGGUUAAGUCUUCAGACGUAGCCGUAGCGAAAGCGAGUCCUAACCGGGCGACAUAGUCGCGUGCCCUAGACCCGAAACCGAGUGAUCUACCCAUGGGCAGGCUGAAGCGGGGGUAAGACCCCGUGGAGGGCCGAACCCACCAGGGUUGAAAACCUGGGGGAUGACCUGUGGGUAGGGGUGAAAGGCCAAUCAAACUCGGUGAUAGCUGGUUCUCCCCGAAAUGCCUUUAGGGGCAGCCUCGGGCGUUCAGCAUCGGGGGUAGAGCACUGCUUGGGCUAGGGGGCCUACAAGCUUACCGAUCUCAGGCAAACUCCGAAUACCGAUGCUCCAGAGCCCGGGAGUGAGGCUGCGGGGGCUAAGCUCCGUAGCCGAGAGGGAAACAACCCAGACCGCCAGCUAAGGUCCCGAAGUCUGUGCUAAGUGGGAAAGGAUGUGGAGUCGCCCAGACAACCAGGAGGUUGGCUUAGAAGCAGCCACCCUUGAAAGAGUGCGUAACAGCUCACUGGUCAAGUGAUUCUGCGCCGAUAAUGUAACGGGGCUCAAGCACAGCACCGAAGCUGCGGCAUUCCUCAUAUGGCUCGGCCGUGCCGGGGUACCGGUACGGUCCAGGCCGAGGGAUGGGUAGGGGAGCGUUCCUGCGCGGGUGAAGCGGCGGGGUAACCCAGCCGUGGAUGCGCAGGAAGUGCGAAUGCCGGCAUGAGUAGCGAAAGUGGGGGGAGGAACCCCACCGCCGAAUGUCCAAGGGUUCCUGGGGAAGGAUCAUCCGCCCAGGGUUAGUCGGGCCCUAAGCCGAGGCCGAGAGGCGUAGGCGAUGGAAGACCGGUUGAUAUUCCGGUACCACCUCAAUCGCGCCAAUCCCGAAUCCAGGUUGCUAAGGAAAGCUCCCCGUCCGGGGAGCCUACCGACCCACCUGGUACUAGGGCAGCGAAGGGGGGACGCAGGAGGGUAGGUGGACCCAGGCGAUGGUCGUCCUGGGGUAAGCGGGUAGGGAGGCUCCCUAGGCAAAUCCGGGGGGCCGUCAAUCCCGAGACGCAAUGCCGAGCCGCAUCAGGCGAAGCCACUGAUCCCACGCUGCCGAGAAAAUCCUCUAGUGAGUGAUUGAGGUGCCCGUACCCCAAACCGACUCAGGUGGACAGGUAGAGAAUACCGAGGCGAUCGAGAGAACCCUGGUUAAGGAACUCGGCAAAUUGCACCCGUAACUUCGGGAGAAGGGUGGCCGCAGUAGAGUGAAGGAGCCUUCGGGCCUCCGGAGCUCGAGGCGGUCGCAGAGACCAGGCCCAAGCGACUGUUUACUAAAAACACAGGUCCAUGCGAAGCCGUAAGGCGCUGUAUAUGGACUGACGCCUGCCCGGUGCUGGAACGUUAAGGGGAUGGGUUAGUGCGGCCUUCGGGUCGCGCGAAGCCCUGAACCGAAGCGCCAGUAAACGGCGGCCGUAACUAUAACGGUCCUAAGGUAGCGAAAUUCCUUGUCGGGUAAGUUCCGACCUGCACGAAUGGCGCAACGACUUGGGCGCUGUCUCAACCAGGGACUCGGCGAAAUUGCACUACGAGUAAAGAUGCUCGUUACCCGCGACAGGACGGAAAGACCCCGGGACCUUUACUGCAGCUUGGUGUUGGGUCUUGGUACGCGUUGCGUAGGAUAGGCGGGAGGCUUUGAAGCCCGGGCUCCGGCUCGGGUGGAGCCAACCUUGAAAUACCGCUCUUCGUGUGCUGGGACUCUAACUUCGGUCCGUAAUCCGGAUCAGGGACAGCGCCUGGUGGGCAGUUUAACUGGGGCGGUUGCCUCCUAAAAGGUAACGGAGGCGCCCAAAGGUACCCUCAGGCCGGUUGGCAAUCGGCCACCGAGUGUAAGGGCAGAAGGGUGCUUGACUGCGAGACAGACAUGUCGAGCAGGUGCGAAAGCAGGGCCUAGUGAUCCGACGGCUCCUAGUGGUAGGGCCGUCGCUCAACGGAUAAAAGGUACCCCGGGGAUAACAGGCUGAUCGCUCCCAAGAGUCCAUAUCGACGGAGCGGUUUGGCACCUCGAUGUCGGCUCGUCUCAUCCUGGGGCUGGAGCAGGUCCCAAGGGUCGGGCUGUUCGCCCGUUAAAGAGGCACGCGAGCUGGGUUUAGAACGUCGUGAGACAGUUCGGUCCCUAUCCGUCGUGGGCGUAGGAAGCUUGAGGGGAGCUGCCCCCAGUACGAGAGGACCGGGGCGGACGGACCUCUGGUGUGCCAGUUGUCGCGCCAGCGGCACGGCUGGUUAGCCACGUUCGGCAGGGAUAAGCGCUGAAAGCAUCUAAGUGCGAAGCUCGCCCCAAGAUGAGGCUUCCCAUCCGCAAGGAGUAAGGCCCCUCGGAGACUACGAGGUAGAUAGGCCGGAGGUGUACGCACGGCAACGUGUUCAGCCGACCGGUACUAAUAGGCCGAGGACUUGGCUC